rnacentral:tRNA from 1 species
GCGGACGUGCCGGAGUGGUUAACGGGUUUGACUCGAAAUCAAAUGGGCUCUGCCCGCGCAGGUUCGAGUCCUGCCGUCCGCG